rnacentral:lncRNA from 1 species
UGAUGUCCCCAAGAUGUCCCCAAGGUGCCACCAACGUGUCCCCAAGCAGGUGGUGGCAUGAUGUCCCCAAGGUGCCACCAAGGGGGUGACACAACGUCCCCAAGGUGCCACCAAGUCACGACAUCCUCUCCACGGUGUCCCCAAAGCGUCCCCAAGGUGCCACCAACUUGCCACCGAGGUGCCACCGAGGCUUCCCCAAGGGGUGGCACCGUGUCCCCAAGAUGUCCCCAAAGCGUCCCCAAGGUGCCACCUACUUGCCACCGACGCGCCACCCAGGCGUCCCCAAGGGGGGGCCCCGCG